rnacentral:rRNA from 1 species
GUGGGUGGCAAGCGUUGUCCGGAAUUAUUGGGCGUAAAGCGCGCGCAGGCGGUUCUUUAAGUCUGAUGUGAAAGCCCACGGCUCAACCGUGGAGGGUCAUUGGAAACUGGAGAACUUGAGUACAGAAGAGGAAAGCGGAAUUCCACGUGUAGCGGUGAAAUGCGUAGAGAUGUGGAGGAACACCAGUGGCGAAGGCGGCUUUCUGGUCUGUAACUGACGCUGAGGCGCGAAAGCGUGGGGAGCAAACAGGGAUUAGAUACCCUGGUAGUCCACGCCGUAAACGAUGAGUGCUAAGUGUUAGGGGGUUUCCGCCCCCUUAGUGCUGCAGCUAACGCAUUAAGCACUCCGCCUGGGGAGUACGGCCGCAAGGCUG